GCUAAAGCAGCGGGCCGGGCGGAAGGUCGGGGAGCCAGAGCCCAGGGAAGAGCAGAAGGCGCGGGGGGGCGGGGGGGGCACCCAGGAGGGAGGACGGGGCAGCGGUGAGGGUGUAGACGGGAGGGAAUCUGUCCGGUGCCGCAGUGAGUUGGGUGGCGGUGAUUUGUUCGCGGGCGCAGGCUGGGAGGCGGGGUUCCUGACUCACUGCGGCACUGGCAGGGCUGGUGACAGCACCACCCCCGCGCCGCCUGCAAUCUGCCACCGCUGCCACCGAGCCGAGGGGCGCCAGCAAGGCAUCCCCUGGGUCAAGGGGCCUCCCGUGGGCUUUCCAAACAGCCUGUGCUCAUUUCCGCGGGAGCCCUCGGGGCGCUGUGCUGUGGCUGCAUUGUCACUGUUUGUUUAUUUCUACAUCUGCUCUGUUAGAAGAUAGGCUCGCUUAGGACAGAGCCUUCUAAUCCACCCCCUGAUGAAUUCGGGCCCUCGCCUUUGGCACAAUGCCUGGCGUCAUCACAACGCGGGUGAUCAGUAAACGGCAGCGAAGGAAGCGGGGUCAGGACUGGAGAGGAGAGGGGGAGGAAGACAGACGACCGGAGAGGAACAAAAAUGGAAGAACAAGUAAGAAUGGACAGAGGAAUACCAUGUGCUGACUGACGAACGCCUGGGUUUCUGAACCAAUUGCCAUCAAGGGGAUUGGGAUUACCAUAAUUUUUGCUGAGACUAAGCCCCACCCCAGUAACCAAAGGCAGUGUUUCAAGAACCCAGCUCCAUUCAUCCUAUGAUGCCACCAUCCUCAGCAUUUGACUUCCAUGGCUCCUGGCUUAGCACAGAGGCUGGCACCUGUUAGACCUAAGAAGGAUUGGCAACUCUGGACAAAUCAGAGAAGGAGCGUUGUCAACCCUUUUCUCCUGGUGAUGAUGAUGGUGAUGGUCAAUGUCCACUCCCAAAUAUCUAUAUUGGGAAGAGGUGGUUUGUAGGGUGAGCAUUUGUCUUUUGAGUGUAUACUUGAGGGAGGGAUGAAAUUAUGUUUGUUUUAUACUCUAGAAAAAUUGGCUAAAACAGCAAAUGUAAUUUUACAGAAUGAUGGAGAGGGCAUACUGAGGUGGGAGGCAAAUAAUAGAAGGAGAUGUAAAACUGUCAACCUUGAUCCCCACAGUGAUGGGGGAUGAUGACAGCAGGAGUAAGUUAUGGGAUGAUUGUAUGUUUGUGAACCUCAGUUCUUCUGCAGCAUGAGCUGGCAGGAUCCUCUCCUUGACCACCUCAGGUGACCUGCUGGAGCCCACUGGUCUCACCAGGAGAGGUCAUCGGGCCACCAGACCAACUGAAGUAAUAGUUCUUCUUGAGGACAGUCUCUAGCUCCCCCUCUAUCCCAUCCCACAGUCCAAAAAUGCUACCCAGCAUGGCCUAACCCAGAGUCUACCCCCAAAUAAGUGAUUCUGCAAGUUGCUAGAAUUCAAAGAUGCUCACACCCCAGAAUUAGAAAACAUCACUGUGGCAGUUUCAGGUUCUCAGCAAGCAGACCAAGAAUGCACAUGUGAGCUUCCUUUAUUUCAAGUUAAGGAUGCAUUUUCGGUUUUUAAAGUUCAACAAUAAUAAAAUCAGUUGAAAGCCCAACUUCUAGAGCAGUGCUAUUCAAUAUACUAGCACUGGCCUGUGUGGCUAUACAAAUUUAAACUAAUCAAAACUCAACAAAAUUUAAAAUGCAGUUCCUCAGUGGCAGUAGCCACAUGUUAAGAACUAAAUGGCCACAUGUGGCUAGUAGUCACCUUAUUGGACAAGGCAGCUGUAGUACAUUUCUGUCAUCACAGAAAGUUAUGUUGGAUAGCAUUCCUCUAGAAGCUGCUUCCGUGAAGCUGUGUGCCAGCUUUCUAAGUCAAGUUCUGUCGAUCCUAUUUGGUAGAAAAUAUGAUAAAUGUUUUAGAAAAUCACAAGAGGACUUUUAUUUGGCUGAAAUUUAAACAUAUGCAUGCAAUUUCUUAAAAUAUAUUUUACAUAUUUGAAGGUUCAGUUCACCUUGGAAAGCCAAAUUUCACAUCUACAAUAUGAACAAAAUUUCAACUUCCUGGAGCUCAGUGAUAAUUAUGGAUUAUAGGUUAAAAAUAAAGUUAAUAACUCCUAACAAGAGCAUGAGCAAUGUAAGACUUUUUCCAGGUAACAUUAGAAGCAAGAAAUAACUAAAAAAGGACAUUGCUUAUUUUUAAGGGUAUUAUCUCCAAGUACAUAUCAUUUUAAAGAAUAAAAUUUUGUGUUAUCUUUUUCAAAGCACAGAUAUUUCUUGUACAUGUUAACCUUCUAAGCUGCACAAUAAGAUAUGACAUCGUUUCUUUCCAAGAAAAGAAGUUAGUUCACCUAAGAGAAAAAUGAAUCAGCCUGGAUCCUAUUUUAUUAUUGGUCCAGGAGAAGCAAGGACCCUACCUGACUUCAGGGAGACCAUCUGGGCUAGUUAUUAGAGCUGUUUAUAAAACCCUGGCUCUCCUUCUCUAGGGGUGUGGGAGGGCUCACUUCCCCACUCCCUAAAGUAAAAAAAGGCCACAUGACUUGGCUUAAACAUGAGUAAGAGUAAUGAAUGUCUCUUCCAGAAGAAGCAUUUAAGUAACUGUGCUUGAUUCAUUCCCCCUUUCUCUCUACAUUGACAGUCAUGGAAUCCCAAGUUGGAAUCUCCAUCAGCAGAUAACCACUAGUGAGGACGAUUAAGAAAGGCUCUUUUAAUCUACAUUGGACACAUAGCAAGAGGAAAAAUAAACUUUUCUUAUAUUAAGCCAUUAUGAGCAUGAGGAUGUUUGUUACUGCAGUAUAACAUGGCCUUUGCUGACCAAUACCUCAUCCAAAUCUAGGUCACAUGGCACCAAAUGGCAACACGGUUCUGAGUCUUUUGUUUCUAUGAAUACAAAGUGAAAAAGCUAUAUGUGUACAAAUCAAGAAUCAGAUAAAGGUGAAGAAUCAAACUUGACGAAAGCAAUCCUAGGGGCUGGGCAUGCUGUCUCACGCCUGUAAUCCCAGCACUUUGGGAGGCCAAGGUGGGUGGAUCACAUGAGGUCAGGAGUUCAACACCAGCCUGGCCAACAUGGUGAAACCCAAUCUCUACUAAAAAUACAAAAAUUAGCCAGCCAUGGUGGUGGGUGCCUGUAAUCCCAGCUACUUGGGAGGCUGAGGCAGAAGAAUCGCUUGAACCUGGGAAGCGGAGGUUGCAGUGAGCCAAGAUCGCACCACUGCACUCCAACCUGGGUGAUAGAGCAAGACUCCCUCUCAAAGAAAAAAAAAAAAAAAAGCAAUCCUAGGUCUGAUUUCCUACAGACACUAAACAUAGAAAGAAGAAAUGGCUCAUUCAUGUGAGCACAAACAGUAAAGAGGUUUAUUUAAACUCUGCUGUGAGCUUGGGCCUCCUUUCCUGCCUGGUUGAAUUUAAAAAUACCAUAUAGACUGUGUGUACCUAAGAUGCUUUUCCUACAAGAGCCUUAAAAUUUUCAUUUCUCUCUUUCUAGAUAUGCUGCCAAGAGAAUUUUUUUCUUUAAGAACAAAUAAACUAAAGAAAUUAACAUCCAGCUUGCUGAGUCACUUGCUUUCCACUUGAAUUUUAACUACAAGGAUCUGAAGACAGCCUGUGUUAGGCAGAGAAAGAAAGAGACAGAGAAAGAGUCAGGGAGAAGAGAGGAAGAGAGAUGUAGCUGGAGAGUCAGGGAGAAAUUCAAAGAGAUGGAGAGAGAGACUGGUUCUGGAAAGAAAAGAUAAGUUAAAUAGAAAAAGGAAAGUAAUCUUUGAAAGGUUUGUUUAAGACAUGUAUUUUCUUACUCUGUAGUGGGAGCGCUGAAUAAAAAUAUUUAAAUAAAAGCUGUAAUGUGAUUAAGGUUUGAGUUGGGGUUUAAUCGUGGAAAGAGCAAGGUAUUUAGAGUGAAAGAUCUAACUUUUGUAUUUAUUUUUCAUUUUUUAGUGUUUUCGCUUUUUUAAUCCCAGGUCCUCUACCAUUGACUAUCUGAUGUUAACAAAAUCAGUUCGCUUUUGUGUCUUGGUUUCCUCAUCUAUGAAAAGGGAAUAGAAAAACUUACCACAUAAGUUGGUAGGGAAGACACAAUUCUAUAAAA
rnacentral:lncRNA from 1 species